UACGGAGGGGGCUAGCGUUGUUCGGAAUUACUGGGCGUAAAGCGUACGUAGGCGGCUUUGUAAGUUAGAGGUGAAAGCCCGGGGCUCAACUCCGGAAUUGCCUUUAAGACUGCAUCGCUUGAAACAUGGAGAGGUGAGUGGAAUUCCGAGUGUAGAGGUGAAAUUCGUAGAUAUUCGGAAGAACACCAGUGGCGAAGGCGACUCACUGGACAUGUAUUGACGCUGAGGUACGAAAGCGUGGGGAGCAAACAGG
rnacentral:rRNA from 1 species